GUGUCCACCAUGGCCUGGACUCUGAUCCUGCUCCCCCUCCUCACCCUCUGCCCAGGGUCCAGGUCUCAGGCUGUGGUGACUCAGGAGCCCUCCCUGACUGCGUCCCCAGGAGGGACAGUCCCUCUCACCUGUGCCUCCAGCACUGGAGCCGUCACCAGCAGUAACUAUCCAUACUGGAUCCAGCAGAAGUCUGGCCAAGUCCCCACCACACUGAUUUAUGAUACAAGCAGUAAAUACUCCUGGACCCCUGCCCGGUUCUCAGGCUCCCUCCUCGGGGGCAAAGCUGCCCUGUCCCUGUCAGGGGCCCAGCCCGAGGACGAGGCCGAGUACUACUGUGUUCUGUGGUACAGCAGCCAUCACCACAGUGACACAUGCAGGGGGGAAGUGAGACAUAAACUCCUGGUUCAGCCACAGCUCUGCUCCUUCCUGUGUGUGCAAAGCUGA